CUGAAAUCAAACGUUUCAAAUUGACAGAUGUGAC
rnacentral:sRNA from 1 species